rnacentral:rRNA from 1 species
UAAUACGAAGGGGGCAAGCGUUGUCCGGAUUCACUGGGUGUAAAGGGUGCGCAGGCGGGAGAGUAAGUCAGAGGUGAAAUCUCACAGCUUAACUGUGAAACUGCCUUUGAUACUGCUUUUCUUGAGUUCGGGAGAGGUUGAUGGAAUUCCAGGUGUAGCGGUGAAAUGCGUAGAUAUCUGGAAGAACACCAGUGGCGAAGGCGGUCAACUGGCCCGUAACUGACGCUCAGGCACGAAAGCGUGGGUAGCGAACAGGAUUAGAUACCCUGGUAGUCCACGCCCUA